CAUGCAGUCGAGCGGCAGCGACAACAUUGACCCUUCGGGGGAUUUGUUGGGCGGCGAGCGGUGGACGGGUGAGUAAUGCCUGGGAACAUGCCUUAGUGUGGGGGAUAACCAUUGGAAACGAUGGCUAAUACCGCAUAAUCUCUACGGAGCAAAGAGGGGGACCUUCGGGCCUCUCGCGCUAAGAUUGGCCCAGGUGGGAUUAGCUAGUAGGUGGGGUAAGGGCUCACCUAGGCGACGAUCCCUAGCUGGUCUGAGAGGAUGAUCAGCCACACUGGAACUGAGACACGGUCCAGACUCCUACGGGAGGCAGCAGUGGGGAAUAUUGCACAAUGGGGGAAACCCUGAUGCAGCCAUGCCGCGUGUGUGAAGAAGGCCUUCGGGUUGUAAAGCACUUUCAGCAGUGAGGAAGGUGGUAUCGUUAAUAGCGGUAUUGUUUGACGUUAGCUGCAGAAGAAGCACCGGCUAACUCCGUGCCAGCAGCCGCGGUAAUACGGAGGGUGCGAGCGUUAAUCGGAAUUACUGGGCGUAAAGCGCAUGCAGGCGGCUUGUUAAGCCAGAUGUGAAAGCCCGGGGCUCAACCUCGGAAUCGCAUUUGGAACUGGCAGGCUAGAGUCUUGUAGAGGGGGGUAGAAUUUCAGGUGUAGCGGUGAAAUGCGUAGAGAUCUGAAGGAAUACCGGGUGGCGAAGCGGCCCCUGGACAAGACUGACGCUCAGAUGCGAAAGCGGUGGGGGAGCAAACAGGAUUAGAUACCCUGGUAGUCCACCGCCGUAAACGAUGUCUACUUGAAGU
rnacentral:rRNA from 1 species